CUCAAGUAAAUUGAUCUGGUUUGAAGGGUUUUUAGAUAUUUUAACUAGAAAACUAGACAAAAAUACUAGUUUUUGCAGUAUGAAUGCAAUGUUUAUCGCGGUGCAUUCUGGGAUUGCCUUAUAUGCAAAAUAUUUGUGUGAUGUUGCCUUAAAAUUUGGCUUCUUACAAGGCAGCACAAUGCUGGUUAUUGGGUAAAUGCUGAUAAUGUCUUAAAAAAGCAAAUAAGUGCAACAUUAGCCACUCCAAGGUCAUGUGUUUGAUUCCUAGAGAAUGCAUGAAGUGAUUCAAAAGCGAUCUGAGUGAAACCGGCCCGGAUGGAUGCGUUACGUGAGCCAGCCAUCUCGCAAGGUUUUGCGGCAGUUCGCUCGGGGACCCACGAAAGCGUACGGGGGUUAAAGGUCAUUUGCGACGAGAGCUUUGCGGAGCCUCUGGAGAAACUUGCCCUGUCUGAAGGGGGUCACAUCGAGUACCCAGAUGACAAAGCAGGUGAGGAGAGACAGAGAUCUGAGAAGACGCUGAGCGGUGCAGAAGACGAGGAGAGAGUAGAUGGCGUCUCGGUGAUGAGUUUCUUCCUCCCAUAUCGCCCAGCCCACAGCGCUCGAGUGUCUCUGUUGUGCUACGCCACGAUCUGCUCUCUUUGUAGAGAUGUAUCGCUAUUCCAGACGAAUCUGCGGUGGGGUCACAAACAGGUGGAGGUAGCAGUGGAUGCGGCCGAAGGCCAAAUGGUAAAACCUGACAUGUGUUGGCAUCUGGUGCGAGAGCAGAGGUUGAGUGUGUUGUGUCGCUCUGUGUGUCAUAUGGAGAGAGACGGAGCGCUCAGGACGGACACUCACAAACAUCUGGACAAUGGGUCAGAGAGAGAGAGACGUGAAGCACCAUUCACUCAUGCAGAGGUGUCAGUGAGACCAUCAUGGGCAUUUAUACUGCUGGAUGCACUUUAUUAGUGGGCUUAACAAACCAUUUUUAAUAAUAAAAUUAGUAAUAAUAAUAAUAAUAAUACUUGUUUUUUUUUUGUUUUACGGUAUGAUAAAUACUAAUAUAUUUAUUGA